AUGUGUUCAAACUUAAGCAACCAUCAACUUAAUACAGACUGCUAUACACAUAAGAUGUUAUAUACAAGAGGGCACCUG